AUACGGAGGGUGCAAGCGCUACUCGGAAUCACUGGGCGUAAAGCGCGCGCAGGCGGCUUGAUAAGUUGGAUGUGAAAGCCUACGGCUCAACCGUAGAACUGCAUCCAAAACUGUCAGGCUAGAGUCUGGGAGGGGAAGAUGGAAUUAGUUGUGUAGGGGUAAAAUCCGUAGAGAUAACUAGGAAUACCAAAAGCGAAGGCGAUCUUCUGGAACAGUACUGACGCUGAGGCGCGAAAGCGUGGGGAGCAAACAGGAUUAGAUACCCCUGUAGUCC
rnacentral:rRNA from 1 species